CUUGUACACACCGCCCGUCACACCAUGGGAGUUGGAAAUGCCCGAAGUCAGUGACCGAACCGAAAGGAAGGAGCUGCCGAAGGUGGAGCCGAUGACUGGGGUGAAGUCGUAACAAGGUAGC
rnacentral:rRNA from 1 species